AGAGAACAGGAAAUGAGAAUGGGUGAUGUGGGUCCCCAUGAAGCAAUAAACAUAGGUAGAUGUGUUUAACACAGCCCCUGCUGGUAACCAAGGUCCUCCUCCAAUGACGGGUAUGAAUAUGAACAACAGAGCAACUAUACCUGGCCCACCAGUGGGUCCUGGUCCUGCCAUGGGACCAGAAGGAGCCGCAAAUAUGGGAACUCCAAUGAUGCCAGAUAAUGGAGC
rnacentral:lncRNA from 1 species